CAGACUGGAACCUCCUUUGAAGCACAGAAAAUCAAGAAAUUUGCUGACCUGCCAGUCCCUCACUAAACAUCAAUCACUUAAUGGAUGUCUACCAAAUGUCAGGAAAUUCACAGCUGGGAUGGUAUUGAAGUGAAAAUGCCAGUAUUGGGCAGAAAGAGAAUCUACCUGCAAUGUGGCUGCAACUAAGGUCUCAGCUGAUCCUACAGAGAACUCAGCUUCUAGAUGUGAGACUGUUCUCAGACC